rnacentral:lncRNA from 1 species
AACGUUGGACGUUCGCGCCGACAGCCAGCUCCUUCUGACCANNNNNNNNNNNNNNNNNNNNNNNNNUUUGUCCCUGUAAAGUUCUCUCUCUCUCUCUCUCUCUCUCUCUCUCUCUCUCUCUGUAAAGUAGAGUUUAAAUGCUCUUGUUCUAUAAUAGUUACAUGUAUAUUUACUAUCUAUCCAGAUGUAAUAUGUAUUACAUUACUUCAUUCUUGCUAUGUAAUAACUGGGGGACAAAAAUGGCAUGUAUGUAAAGUGUAUAAAAGACGAAAACACGUUUAUUUUUGUCCUCUGAAGGGAGGAUGGACCCAAAAAUAAACCAUAAAAAGAGAAUUUGACUCUCUCUCUCUCUCUUUCUCUCUCUCUCUCUCUCUCUCUCAUAUGCUGUUUGUCCAUGCAGUGUCGACGAGGUUGACCUUCCGAAGAGCCUCGUCUGAGACGACCCUGAACACCACGACUCUUAGCAACACAACUCUGAACACCAAUACAACCAGGAAGACUCAUGGGAGGUGGCCGUGGGAUCUGGACUUGGCGCUGAAGGCGGGAGUGAAGCGCCACGGGGAGGGGAAAUGGUCGCGUAUCCUCCAGGAACACGACUUCCAGGGUCGCACGGGGGUUCAACUCAAAGACCGUUGGAGGGUCCUCAAGAAGGCGCAUAAAGUCAACUCCUCCUAAGGCCCGUGUCUCAAAUGGUAUCUUAUUCACUAAGAAGCGCACUACUUUUGACCAGAGCCCUAUGAGACCUCCUGAAUAGGGGGGGAAAAAAGGGUGCAGAUUGGGACGUGACCUUCGGGACUAAGUUUAAGUCCGUUUGUGGAUUCUGGGGGUUUAUAUACGGUACUCUACUGUUAGUGAUCUUGCCUAGUUUUAAUAAAUAGUGUUAUAGUUCAGGCUCCUUGGUUUUCUCUUCUUUAAAUUCUGUUUUAAACUAGUGUAUUAGUACCGCUCACUGUACAGUUUUAUAUAAGGGAUUGUAAAUAGGUUAUGCUCUUGUGUCCUUGUAUUUCCAGAGUUGGUGUGUGUGUGAGUUUAACUAAGGCUGUGAUUCAAUCCGAGGGAGACAAUGUCCCAUUUGAGUGGAAAUAUGCCUGGGUUUACCAUGAACAAACACGAGAACGUUUUUUUUUAAAAGCUGCAUUGUGUUCAACCUGAAACUGGAUUGAAUCCCGGCCUUUCUUAACACAAGGCUUCAAUGUCAUUAACCGGUAACCACCAGUAGCUGGCAUGAUAUUACUACCAGUAACCAGCAGAGGGAGCUAUAUAUAUCUUUCUGUGGACAAUAGCAGCUUAACUUGUAUUUCAACUUUAUUUUUUAGUUUUUUACAAAACCAUUUAUCCUUCUAGUUAUCAAUGGCUAAAGAAAGAACGAUUAGAACCAUCUGAACAAAUUGUUCAAUAGAAAUUGAAAAAAUUGUCAAACAUUAAUAAAAAUGUCUUUGUUUAUUUUAUAUAUUUCACAGUAUUUAUUUCUGCAAUAGGGACUAUACAAAAGCACACCUGUGUUAUUGUAAAGUAGUCAUCUCUCCAUUUGGAACGUCAUAUCUUGUCUGUACGCAGGAAGGAGAUACUCAAAUGUGUUCUUAAAAUAUUUUGUUAAAUAAAGAUCACUGAUUUGGUGUG